rnacentral:rRNA from 1 species
AUUGAACGCUGGCGGCAUGCCUUACACAUGCAAGUCGAACGGCAGCACGGGUUCUUGCAUCUGGUGGCGAGUGGCGAACGUGUGAGUAAUACAUCGGAACAUGUCCUGUUGUGGGGGAUAGCCGGGCGAAAGCCGUAUUAAUACCACAUACGAUCUACGUAGGAAAGCGGGGGACCUUCGCGCCUCGCGCUAGAGGGGUGGCCGAUGGCGGAUUAGCUAGUUGGUGGGGUAAAGGCUUACCAAGGCGACGAUCAGUAGCUGGUCUGAGAGGACGACCAGCCACACUGGGACUGAGACACGGCCCAGACUCCUACGGGAGGCAGCAGUGGGGAAUUUUGGACAAUGGGGGCAAGCCUGAUCCAGCCAUGCCGCGUGCGUGAAGAAGGCCUUCGGGUUGUAAACCGCUUUUGUUCGGGAAGAAAUCCUCGGGGCUAAUACGCCGGGGGGAUGACGGUACCGGAAGAAUAAGCACCGGCUAACUACGUG